rnacentral:rRNA from 1 species
AGUCGUACGCACUGGCCCAACUGAUUGAUGGUGCUUGCACCUGAUUGUCGAUGGAUCACCAGUGAGUGGCGGACGGGUGAGUAACACGUAGGUAACCUGCCCCGGAGCGGGGGAUAACAUUUGGAAACAGAUGCUAAUACCGCAUAACAACGAAAGCCACAUGGCUUUUGUUUGAAAGAUGGCUUUGGCUAUCACUCUGGGAUGGACCUGCGGUGCAUUAGCUAGUUGGUAAGGUAACGGCUUACCAAGGCGAUGAUGCAUAGCCGAGUUGAGAGACUGAUCGGCCACAAUGGAACUGAGACACGGUCCAUACUCCUACGGGAGGCAGCAGUAGGGAAUCUUCCACAAUGGGCGCAAGCCUGAUGGAGCAACACCGCGUGAGUGAAGAAGGGUUUCGGCUCGUAAAGCUCUGUUGUUGGAGAAGAACGUGCGUGAGAGUAACUGUUCACGCAGUGACGGUAUCCAACCAGAAAGUCACGGCUAACUACGUGCCAGCAGCCGCGGUAAUACGUAGGUGGCAAGCGUUAUCCGGAUUUAUUGGGCGUAAAGCGAGCGCAGGCGGUUGCUUAGGUCUGAUGUGAAAGCCUUCGGCUUAACCGAAGAAGUGCAUCGGAAACCGGGCGACUUGAGUGCAGAAGAGGACAGUGGAACUCCAUGUGUAGCGGUGGAAUGCGUAGAUAUAUGGAAGAACACCAGUGGCGAAGGCGGCUGUCUGGUCUGCAACUGACGCUGAGGCUCGAAAGCAUGGGUAGCGAACAGGAUUAGAUACCCUGGUAGUCCAUGCCG